CUGACAACGCCUAUCAGUUCAUGCUGACUGACAGAGAGAACCAGUCUGUCCUGAUUACUGGAGAAUCUGGUGCUGGAAAGACUGUGAACACCAAACGUGUCAUCCAGUACUUUGCCACAGUUGCA